rnacentral:snRNA from 1 species
AUACUUACCUGGCAGGGGAGAUACCAUGAUCACGAAGAUGGUUUUCCCAGGGCGAGGCUUAUCCAUUGCAUUCCGGAUGUGUGGACCCCUGCAAUUUCCCCAAAUGUGGGAAACUCGACUGCAUAAUUUGUGGUAGUGGGGGACUGCAUUCACGCUCUCCCCUG